UACGUAGGGUGCAAGCGUUGUCCGGAAUUAUUGGGCGUAAAGAGCUCGUAGGCGGUUUGUUGCGUCGGCUGUGAAAUCCCGAGGCUCAACCUCGGGUCUGCAGUCGAUACGAGCAAACUAGAGUGUUGCAAGGGAGACUGGAAUUCCUGGUGUAGCGGUGAAAUGCGCAGAUAUCAGGAGGAACACCGGUGGCGAAGGCGGAUCUCUGGGCCAUUACUGACGCUGAGGAGCGAAAGCGUGGGGAGCGAACAGG
rnacentral:rRNA from 1 species